rnacentral:rRNA from 1 species
GAUGAACGCUAGCGAUAGGCUUAACACAUGCAAGUCGAGGGGCAGCACAAGGUAGCUUGCUAUCUGGGUGGCGACCGGCGCACGGGUGCGUAACGCGUAUGCAACUUGCCCUAUACAGGAGGAUAACCCGUCGAAAGACGGACUAAUACUGCGUAUGCUCACAACUUGGCAUCAAGUGGUGAGGAAAGAAAUUCGGUAUAGGAUAGGCAUGCGUCCCAUUAGCUUGUUGGUGAGGUAACGGCUCACCAAGGCAACGAUGGGUAGGGGAACUGAGAGGUUUAUCCCCCACACUGGCACUGAGACACGGACCAGACUCCUACGGGAGGCAGCAGUGAGGAAUAUUGGUCAAUGGGCGCGAGCCUGAACCAGCCAAGUCGCGUGAAGGAUGACUGUCUUAUGGAUUGUAAACUUCUUUUAUACGGGAAUAACAAGAGUCACGUGUGACUCCCUGCAUGUACCGUAUGAAUAAGCAUCGGCUAACUCCGUG